AGAGUUUGAACAUGGCUCAGGAUGAACGCUAGCUACAGGCUUAACACAUGCAAGUCGUGGGGCAGUAUGAAGGAAGCUUGCUUCCUUUGAUGGCGACCGGCGCACGGGUGAGUAACGCGUAUCCAACCUGCCCACGGCCAGGGGAUAGCCCGCUGAAAAGCGGAUUAAUGCCCUAUGGCGUCCUUUGCAGACAUCUAAUGAGGACUAAAGGUUUACCGGCCAUGGAUGGGGAUGCGUCCGAUUAGGUAGUUGGCGGGGUAACGGCCCACCAAGCCAUCGAUCGGUAGGGGUUCUGAGAGGAAGGUCCCCCACAUUGGAACUGAGACACGGUCCAAACUCC
rnacentral:rRNA from 1 species